UACGGAGGGUGCGAGCGUUAUCCGGAAUUACUGGGUUUAAAGGGUGCGUAGGCGGCUAUGUAAGUCAGGAGUGAAAGUUUGCGGCUCAACCGUAAAAUUGCUUUUGAUACUGCAUGGCUCGAAUUAGGAUGAGGUCAGCGGAAUGUGGCAUGUAGCGGUGAAAUGCAUAGAUAUGCCAUAGAACACCAAUUGCGAAGGCAGCUGGCUAGACCUGGAUUGACGCUGAGGCACGAAAGCGUGGGGAGCGAACAGG
rnacentral:rRNA from 1 species